rnacentral:rRNA from 1 species
CCUACGGGAGGCAGCAGUAGGGAAUCUUCCACAAUGGACGCAAGUCUGAUGGAGCAACGCCGCGUGAGUGAAGAAGAUUUUCGGAUCGUAAAGCUCUGUUGUUGGUGAAGAAGGAUAGAGGUAGUAACUGGCCUUUAUUUGACGGUAAUCAACCAGAAAGUCACGGCUAACUACGUGCCAGCAGCCGCGGUAAU